GUGAGGAAUAUUGCGCAAUGGAGGCAACUCUGACGCAGCCAUGCCGCGUGCAGGAAGAAGGCGCUACGCGUUGUAAACUGCUUUUAACCGGGAAGAAACCCCAGGACGUGUCCUGGGUUGACGGUACCGGAGGAAUAAGCACCGGCUAACUUCGUGCCAGCAGCCGCGGUAAUACGAAGGGUGCAAGCGUUAUCCGGAUUCAUUGGGUUUAAAGGGUGCGUAGGCGGAGCGUUAAGUCAGUGGUGAAAUCCUGCAGCUUAACUGUAUACUUGCAAUUGAUACUGGCGCUCUUGAGUGCGCUUGAAGUGGGCGGAAUGUGCCGUGUAGCGGUGAAAUGCUUAGAUAUGGCACAGAACACCAAUUGCGAAGGCAGCUCACUAAGGCGAUACUGACGCUGAGGCACGAAAGCGUGGGGAUCGAACAGGAUUAGAUACCCUUGUAGUCC
rnacentral:rRNA from 1 species